UACAGGGGGUGCAAACGUUGCUCGGAAUCAUUGGGCGUAAAGCGCACGUAGGCGGUUCGUUAUGUCGGAUGUGAAAGCCCUUGGCUUAACCGAGGAAGUGCAUCCGAAACUGGCGAGCUAGAGUACGAAAGAGGAUCGCGGAAUUCCCGGUGUAGAGGUGAAAUUCGUAGAUAUCGGGAGGAACACCGGUGGCGAAGGCGGCGAUCUGGGUCGAUACUGACGCUGGGGUGCGAAAGCGUGGGGAGCAAACAGG
rnacentral:rRNA from 1 species